ensembl:snRNA U6 U6 spliceosomal RNA
GUGCUCACUUCAGCAGCACUUGUACUAAAGUUGGAACAAUACAGAGAAGGUUAGCGUGGCCCCUGUGUCAUCAGGAUGACAAGCAAAUUCGUGCAGUGUUCCAUAUUUUU